rnacentral:snRNA from 1 species
CCAAUAGGGAACGUGAGC